CUCUCUCUCUCUCUCUCUCUCUCUCUCUCUCUCUCUCUCUCUCUCUCUCUCUCUCUCUCUCUCUCUCUCUCUCUCUCUCUCUCUCUCUCUCUCUCUCUCUCUCUCUCUCUCUCUCUCUCUCUCUCUCUCUCUCUCUCUCUCUCUCUCUCUCUCUCUCUCUCCAUACAUUAUGAUAAGUGAGAAACUCAUCAGUGAGUUACCUGACGAAGUUAACCAAAGAUGGCUCAAAUGACUUGCUUUCGUAUAAUUUAUUUACAGAGAAAGAAGAAGGAAGGAAACGCCGACAGGCUGUCAAGCAUCUUCAAGUUGAUCUACCUCUUUUUAGGAUAUUAUUACUUAUGUGAUGCUAAAUACCUAAUGGUGAAGGCAACUUAGUACCGUUUAGAGGAUAGCGAUAUCAUUUAAACGAUUGGGAUGUCCUACUUACUACUCCUGCUGAAUUUUUCAAUACGAAACAUUCUUCUGCUCGGAACAUAGUAGAGAGAGCAUUUGGACUAUUAAAGGGAUGAUGGGCAAUCCUUAGAGGUCGAUCAUACUAUCAUGUUAAAAUUCAGUGUCGAAUUAUUUUGGCUUGUUGACAAUAUGCAAACUUUUAGAAUUUAAAAUUUUAAUCAAUAUUUGUUUUUUUAAGUGAUUUUAACCAAUAUUUUUAAGAUAUACUAUUUUGUGUUAAAGAGUUUUUAUUGUUGUUUAAAUUAUCCGUGCUAAAGAAAUAUUGUGUUGGGCUGGGUCAA